rnacentral:rRNA from 1 species
UACGUAGGUGUCAAGCGUUGUCCGGAAUUACUGGGCGUAAAGCGUGUGCAGGCGGGCUAGCAAGUCGGAUGUGAAAUCCCCAGGCUUAACCUGGGAACUGCAUCCGAUACUGGAUGGCUUGAAUCCGGGAGAGGGAUGCAGAAUUCCAGGUGUAGCGGUGAAAUGCGUAGAUAUCUGGAGGAAUACCGGUGGCGAAGGCGGCAUCCUGGACCGGCAUUGACGCUGAUGAGCGAAAGCUAGGGGAGCAAACGGG